UACGUAGGGGGCAAGCGUUGUCCGGAUUUAUUGGGCGUAAAGAGCGUGUAGGCGGCCAGACAGGUCCGUUGUGAAAACUGGAGGCUUAACCUUCAGACGUCGAUGGUAACCGUCGGGCUAGAGUCCGGAAGAGGAGAGUGGAAUUCCUGGUGUAGCGGUGAAAUGCGCAGAUAUCAGGAAGAACACCCGUGGCUAAGGCGGCUCUCUAGUACGGUACUGACGCUGAGACGCGAAAGCGUGGGGAGCGAACAGG
rnacentral:rRNA from 1 species